rnacentral:rRNA from 1 species
CAGUCGCCGCGGUAAUACGGAGGGCGCGAGCGUUACCCGGAUUUACUGGGCGUAAAGGGCGUGUAGGCGGCCUGGGGCGUCCCAUGUGAAAGGCCACGGCUCAACCGUGGAGGAGCGUGGGAUACGCUCAGGCUAGAGGGUGGGAGAGGGUGGUGGAAUUCCCGGAGUAGCGGUGAAAUGCGCAGAUACCGGGAGGAACGUCGAUGGCGAAGGCAGCCACCUGGUCCACUUCUGACGCUGAGGCGCGAGAGCGUGGGGAGCAAACCGGAUUAGAGACCCCAGUAGUCCCUGUCUCUUAUAC